AUAUUUUAGUAUACGAGGUACAAAAGUUUUUGAUACUUUUAGAAAUAGUUUGAUUCUAUUAAAUAUAAC
rnacentral:tRNA from 1 species